CGCGCAGGCGGUCUUGUCCGUCAGGUGUGAAAGCUCGGGGCUCAACCCCGGAAGUGCACUUGAAACAGCAAGACUUGAAUACGGGAGAGGAGAGAGGAAUUCCUGGUGUAGAGGUGAAAUUCGUAGAUAUCAGGAGGAACACCGAUGGCGAAGGCAUCUCUCUGGACCGAUAUUGACGCUGAGGCGCGAAGGCGUGGGUAGCGGAACG
rnacentral:rRNA from 1 species